rnacentral:lncRNA from 1 species
GCUGUUUCCAUGACAACUAGUGCUGGAGCUCUGCAAAGGAGGCGAGUGCAGUUCCUUUGGCGAAAUCACUUUAUUUCAAACAUUUGGACUUCUACAGCUGAUCAGUGCAUCCUUCCUGGGCAUACCAUGUUCUAG